GUCGAGAUGCUGGAGAGGUUAACAGGUACGCCUUGAAUCGAGUGGUUCAGAUAGCGUAUGGCAUUUGCCGCGUAGGUUCGAACCCUACUCUCGACG